rnacentral:rRNA from 1 species
UACGGCUCAGUAACACGUAGCUAACCUACCCUUAAGUCAAGAAUAACCUCGGGAAACUGAGGAUAAAUCUUGAUAGAAAAUAAUUUCUGGAAUGAUUUAUUUUUUAAAGGCAACGCUUAAGGAGGGGGCUGCGGCUGAUUAGGUAGUUGUUGGUGUAAUUGACUAACAAGCCGAUGAUCAGUAAGGGCUCUUAGCGGAGAGGCCCUGAGAAGGAAUCUGAGACACUAUUCCUAGCUCUACGGGGUGCAGCAGUUAAGGAAAUUUUACAAUGCGCGAAAGCGUGAUAGAAUAAACCAGAGUGCUUCUCUUAGAGAAGCUUUUGUUUGGUGUAAAAAGCCAGACGAAUAAGGACUGGGCAAGACCGGUGCCAGCCGCCGCGGUAAUACCGGCGGUCCGAGUCGCAUCCACAUUUAUUGGGUCUAAAACAUUCGUAGCUUGUUUUGUAAGUCUCUUGUGAAAUCUCAUGUCUCAAGCAUGAGGCGGGCAAGAGAUACUGCAUUACUAGAGACCGGAAGAUGCAAAGAGUACAAUCAAGGUAGCGGUAAAAUGUGUUAAUCUUGAUUGGACUAACAAUGGCGAAGGCACUUUGCAAGUACGGAUCUGACAGUGAGGGAUGAAGGCUAGGGGCGCAAAAGGGAUCAGAUACCCCUGUAGUCCUAGCAGUAAACACUGCUCACUAAACAUUAGUACCUCCUCGAGAGGUAUUAGUGCUGUAGAGAAGUCGAAGAGUGAGCUACCUGGGAAGUAUAGUCGCAAGGCUGAAACUUAAAGGAAUUGGCGGGGGAGCAC